rnacentral:lncRNA from 10 species
UUUAAAGUUGCACCUCGAUAGCAGCCUUACUGCCGUGAGUAGAGGAACAUGCUAGAAAGCCCCAUGGCCUGCCUCUCCAGCCUCCCGCUUCUCAAUGUGUGCCCAUCACUGAAGACCUGGCUUCCCAAAACUUUCCCAAAGGUCUGGCUUUGUUCCGGAAUAUAUCGUCUGACAAGUACAGCUCUCCCUCACAAUCUGUGGUUGGCUGAAUAAAGCAUCCCUCAAAGAUGUCCAGUGAAAGAGAUAUGACCAGGGAGCCCUAAAUGAUGGAAGGGAAUGUGAUGGUGGAAGCGGAGUCAAAAAGGAGAUGCCACAACAGAGGUAGACAUCAGAGAGCAUUUUGAAGAUGAACUGCUGUCCGCUGUGAAGAUGGAGAAAGGGGGAAGGGAUGAAGGACUGCAGGCAGCUCUAGAACCCAGAAAAGGCAAAGAAACGUGCUCUUCCUUAGAGUCUCCAGAAAGAAGACAGCUCUGUUGACACCUGACUUUAGUACCCUAAGGCCCAUUCUUGGGUUUCUGCCCUACACAGAUGUAAUAUAAUAAAUAAAUUUGUGUUUUUCACAGC